GGUACACUGAGAAAGCUUGGGCCAUCCCUGCUGGGGUGCAGAGAAGGAGGGAAUGGCCUUGGAAAGGGGCAGGGGCCUUAAAGUCAGGUUUGAGUAACAGCUACACCAUCAAGCUACAAACAAGAAAUGGAGUAGCCAUGAGAGAUUUCAUUGUAAAGAAUUGGCCUCCUUCAGAAAACAUCAGUUCCAGAGGAAUAUUCCAUGCCUCCAGGGAAAUGAACACACAGGCCUCAUGCUGUCCCACCUGCCUGGACCACCCUCCAGUCUUGUCUCAAACUCCAACUCUGGCCUCCUUCCCACACUGCUUUC